AUUGAACGCUGGCGGCAGGCCUAACACAUGCAAGUCGAACGAGUGGCGGACGGGUGAGUAAUGUCUGGGAAACUGCCUGAUGGAGGGGGAUAACUACUGGAAACGGUAGCUAAUACCGCAUACCAUCGGAUGUGCCCAGAUGGGAUUAGCUAGGAGGUGGGGUAAAGGCUCACCUAGGCGACGAUGCCUAGCUGGUUGGAGAGGAUGACCAGCCGCACUGGAACUGAGACACGGUCGAGACUCCUACGGGAGGCAGCAGUGGGGAAGAUGGCACAAUGGGCGCAAGCCUGAUGCAGCCAGGCCGCGUGUAUGAAGAAGGCCUUCGGGUUGUAAAGUACUUUCAGCGGGGAGGCGUUACCCGCAGAAGAAGCACCGGCUAACUCCGUGCCAGCAGCCGCGGUAAUUC
rnacentral:rRNA from 1 species